rnacentral:rRNA from 1 species
GACGAACGCUGGCGGCGUGCUUAACACAUGCAAGUCGAACGGAAAGGCCCUGCUUUUGUGGGGUGCUCGAGUGGCGAACGGGUGAGUAACACGUGAGUAACCUGCCCUUGACUUUGGGAUAACUUCAGGAAACUGGGGCUAAUACCGGAUAGGAGCUCCUGCUGCAUGGUGGGGGUUGGAAAGUUUCGGCGGUUGGGGAUGGACUCGCGGCUUAUCAGCUUGUUGGUGGGGUAGUGGCUUACCAAGGCUUUGACGGGUAGCCGGCCUGAGAGGGUGACCGGCCACAUUGGGACUGAGAUACGGCCCAGACUCCUACGGGAGGCAGCAGUGGGGAAUGUUGCACAAUGGGCGGAAGCCUGAUGCAGCAACGCCGCGUGCGGGAUGACGGCCUUCGGGUUGUAAACCGCUUUCGCCUGUGACGAAGCGUGAGGGACGGUAAUGGGUAAAGAAGCACCGGCUAACUACGU